AAUGUUUUAGGUUAAAAAAACCAGUAGCCUUCAAAGCUUCAAUUGGGAAUACCCAAACAUUA
rnacentral:tRNA from 1 species